AAAGGGAGACCUAAUUCGGGUAUAAGACGAAAAAAUAGUAGUCGAAACCAAGAAUCAAUCCCAAAAGGUCGGAACGAGGUAUGUGGCUUUCAAACUAGGUUCUGGGUUCAUAAAAGACCUGAAUCAGGAACAAGGGCUAUUAGCUCAGGUGGUUAGAGCGCACCCCUGAUAAGGGUGAGGUCCCUGGUUCGAGUCCAGGAUGGCCCACCUGCACAGGUGGCAAAAACAAAGAAAAGAAGCUCCGAAUCAGCACCUUAUCUUACUUAUACAGUAAGAGAGAAUGCUGGCUCUGAGUUCAGAGUCCAGAGGAACCUUGUAAACUGCAUAGAGCUAGGUGAAAAAGCCAAAAAAGAAGACCGCAAG
rnacentral:tRNA from 1 species